GAUGAACGCUGGCGGCGUGCCUAAUACAUGCAAGUCGAGCGAACAGACGAGGAGCUUGCUCCUCUGACGUUAGCGGCGGACGGGUGAGUAACACGUGGAUAACCUACCUAUAAGACUGGGAUAACUUCGGGAAACCGGAGCUAAUACCGGAUAAUAUAUUGAACCGCAUGGUUCAAUAGUGAAAGACGGUUUUGCUGUCACUUAUAGAUGUAUCCGCGCCGCAUUAGCUAGUUGGUAAGGUAACGGCUUACCAAGGCAACGAUGCGUAGCCGACCUGAGAGGGUGAUCGGCCACACUGGAACUGAGACACGGUCCAGACUCCUACGGGAGGCAGCAGUAGGGAAUCUUCCGCAAUGGGCGAAAGCUUGACGGAGCAACGCCGCGUGAGUGAUGAAGGUCUUCGGAUCGUAAAACUCUGUUAUUAGGGAAGAACAAAUGUGUAAGUAACUAUGCACGUCUUGACGGUACCUAAUCAGAAAGCCACGGCUAACUACGUG
rnacentral:rRNA from 1 species